rnacentral:tRNA from 1 species
CUGAGAUAUCUGAGCGAAAAGAUAUUUGGAUUCUUCUUACUGGACUACUUUCUGAAACAA